CUACCCGUCACACUAUGGGAGCUGGCCAUGCCCGAAGUCGUUACCUUAACCGCAAGGAGGGGGAUGCCGAAGGCAGGGCUAGUGACUGGGGUGAAGUCAUAACAAG
rfam:Nicotiana attenuata strain TT chromosome 4, whole genome shotgun sequence.